AGGUCACAAGAUUGCGCCAACCCUUACAUGGUCCUUAAAAAAAAAACCUUCUGACACUGCAGUAGUGAAAAUGAAGCGCACGAUGGGCGGAAGCUGUGAGUCCGGCAAAGUUUUAAAAUGAUGACGUAUUUUAUUAACUCUAACGGCACUGGCGGGUGACUGAAAAUACUAGUGCUGUGUAUGCGGGAUAGACAUUAUUUUCCUGCCCUACAUGAGGGGCUCGUGCGCGGAACGACAUGGGCAGCCCCGGCGGAAACUGCAGGCACAAGCCGGGACGCCGCGGGUUUAAAACAUGCGCGUGAGAGGAAGACAAACAUAAAGAUGAAGUGCUUAAUUCAAGGUCACACAAUGUCGGGGAUGGACCUCCAGAUUUCCUUACUGGUGAGACGUGGUCUUGUAACACAGUGGUUAAGAAUGUGACUUUGGAGCCAGCCUGCUAGGGGCUGAAUUCUGACUCAGCCAUUUACUAACUGUGUGACCUUAGGUAAGUCAUUUACCUUCUUUGUCCCUCAGUUUCAUCUCGGUUAAGUAGGGAUAAUGAUAGCACCUAUUUUAUAGGGUUAUUGUGAGGAAUAAAUCCAAGUAAAAUGCUUAGAAUAGUAACUGAAACAUAGCACUCAUUAGGAAUGCUUUAAUUUUCAUUUAUUUGAGUAUUAAAGGUUGAAUUUUCAGAGGUAUUUUGGACCUUUGUAUUUUUUCUUUAAAUCACUUAUUCAUGACUUUUGAACUUUUUUUUUUCUUUUAGAGACAGGGUCUUGGUUUGUUGUCUAGGCUGGAAUGCAGUGGUGCAAUCAUAGCUCACUGUAGCCUUGAACUCUUGGGCUCAAGAGAUCCUCCUGCCUCAGCCUCGUGAGUAGCUGGGCCUACAGGCGCCUGCUACCACACCUGGCUAAUUUUUUAUUUUUUGUAGAGAUGGGUUCUUGCAGCCCAGACUGGUCUUGAGCUUUGGCCUGAAGUGCUCCUCCUGCCUUGGCCUCUCAAAGCAUUGGGGUUACAGGUGUGAAGCACUGCACCUUGCCUACACAUUUUUUCCAAUAAUUUUUUUUAUUAAUUUGUAAGAGUUAACAUGUCGACUAUCAUAUAUAACAUAGAAUUGUUCCCAUUUUGUCAUUUCCUUUCAACUUUGUCUAUGUAGCUUUUUUUCUGUGUGCAAAUUUUACAUUUUUAGGUAGUCAGAAAAUCUCUUCCCUUGUAAUUUUUUCUGCUACUAGACCAAUGUUUAGAAAAAAGCGUGCUUCCCCACCUCAAAAUUAUAAAAAUAGUUACUUGUUCUUUUUGAGUACUGUGUGUGUUUAAAUCUUUAAUCUUUAAAUUUAAAUCUUUGAUCCAUCUGGUAUUUAUUUUGAUAUGAAGAGAGUGGUUGGGAUCUGGCUGUAUUUCUUUUUUCUUUUUUUUUCUUUUUUCUUUUUUUGACGAAGUCUCACUGUUGCUCAGGCUGGAGUGCAAUGGCAUGAUCUCGGCUCAUCACAACCUCUGCUUCCUGGGUUCAAGCGAUUCUCCUGCCUCAGCCUCCCGAGUACCUGGGACUACAGGCACUCGCCACCAUGCCCGGCUGAUUUUUGUAUUUUUAAUAGAGAUGGUUUCACUAUGUUGGCCAGGCUGGUCUCGAACUCCUGACCUUGUGAUCUGCCCACCUCAGCCUCGAAAAGUGCUGGGAUUACAGGCGUGAGCCACUGCGCCCAGCCUUGUAUUUUUUUUCAGUUUGGGUAGCUGUCCCUAAUUCAUUUGUUAAAGGAGAAGCAAGAGCAAGAACCUUUAAUCUGUUCUCCUCUUCCCUAAUUUGAAAGUAGCUUGUUAUUUUGAAUAUCACUUUCUCUGAAAUAGCACAUCUCCAUCUCAGAGAAUGGAUUUAAUGUUUGGAUACAGCCAAAAGUCAUUUCAUUACCAAACCAUGGGGUGAAUAUACCAUGUAAAGCAGUUUGGGAUCAGAACUCACAGUCUGAAUUGUAAGUGAUGAGACUGCUGUCUCUCUGCUACAGCUUCUUGGCUGGCUCUGAAGGCUCUUUGAAGGCAGAUCCUAACAAGGGGACUGCUUUGAAGGGCCAUUGUUCAUUUGGAAUGAUAAAGUCUAUGUUGUUCAAAAAACAAAUGCUUGUAGCAGGUAUUUUUUCACUCCAGACUGAGAAUAUUGGUGGGAUAUUGAUAAGGGGUACUGAAUGGUAAUAAACAUGUGCUCUAGCUCUGUGCUAGUCAGCUUAUUUCAGAACUCUAGUUUGAUUCAGUUUCUUGCCUCUGACUCAAAAUGGAGGGAGAGUGAUUUUUACAUAAGAGAACACACCCACAUAUCCUUUUGGCAGCAGCUACCUGCCAGAGAUGUUGAAGAAGAGUAGCCAACCUUUACACAGCAGAUAUUGUGUGCCAGUCAUAGUCCUAAGUAUAAUACCUUACAUGUAUAAACUUCUUAUAAGGUUGGUGCUCUGUACCGAAUUGAAUAGUAUCCCCCAAAAUUCAUGUUGUCCCAGAACCUAUGAAAGUGAUCUUACUUGAGGGAGGGGGGAGGGGGGAGGGAUAGCAUUAGGAGAUAUACCUAAUGCUAAAUGACGAGUUAAUGGGUGUAGCACACCAGCAUGGCACAUGUAUACAUAUGUAACUAACCUGCACAUUGUGCACAUGUACCCUAAAACUUAAAGUAUAAUAAUAAUAAAAUAAAAAAAAAAAAGAAAGUGAUCUUACUUGGAAAUAAGGUCUUUGCACAUAUGAUCAAGUUGAGAUGAAGUUGUACUGGAAAGUCUGUCUAGUGACUGGUGUUGUCAUAAGAAGAGAGGGACACAGAGGGAAGAUGGCCACAUGAAGAUGGAGGCAGAGAUUGCAGUUAUGCUGCUGCAAACUAAGGAAUGGCUCUGGCCCUCCAAGGAUUGCUGAUAACCACCAGAAACUAGAAGAGACAAGGAAGGAUUCUUCCCUAGAGCCUUCAGAGGGAGCAUGGCCCUACUGACACCUGGAUUUCAAACUUGUAGCUUCCUAAACUGCAAGAGAAUAAAUUUCUGUUGUUUUAAGCCA
rnacentral:lncRNA from 1 species